rnacentral:tRNA from 1 species
UAUCUUAUAGCUCAAUGGUUAGUACAUUACUCUUCUAAAAUUAUUAUUUAGGUUAUAAUCCUAAUUAA